rnacentral:misc_RNA from 1 species
UUUCCGUAGGUGAACCUGCGGAAGGAUCAUUAUUGAAUAAACCUGAUGUGGCUGUUAGCUGGCUUUUCGAAGCAUGUGCUCGUCCGUCAUCUUUAUCUCUCCACCUGUGCACAUUUUGUAGUCUUGGAUACCUCUCGAGGCAACUCGGAUAUUAGGGUCGCUGUGCUGUACAAGUCGGCUUUCCUUUCAUUUCCAAGACUAUGUUUUGAUAUACACCAAAGUAUGUUUAAAGAAUGUCAUCAAUAGGAACUUGUUUCCUAUAUAAUUAUACAACUUUCAGCAACGGAUCUCUUGGCUCUC